GGGAGAGGAAGAGUGGUGGUUUCAGGGAAGGUUUCAUGGGAGGAGACUGAGAAGAAUGGUCCUUGAGCCCCUCACUAAGCAAAAUACCACUGGUUCUGAAUUCUGCCAAAGUUCAGCUCUUCAGCUCAUGAUGCUGCUGCCUCGUGGUUCACCCUCCUUUCCCAGCUACAUCCAGGAGCCAUUGACCAGAAGUGAUGAAGCAGAACAUGUGACAACUGAUUCACAGGAGUUACUGGGCACACUUGGUUGCUGCUCUUGGCGUUGACUGCUGUGAGGCCCAGCGACCCGAGGCCGUUCCUGGUUGAGAGAACCAAAUCAUUCACUCCUUCCUUACUUCUUUCAGUUCUUUGAAACAUGUGUUCAUCCAUUCAUUCAUCAAUCUCAGCUGACUUCCUCUGUGACUCUCAGAGGUGGGUCUGAAAGACAUUUUAGAGCAACCCUAAAGAGUCUCAGGGUAACUGGGCUAAAUCAGCAUUGCUAGGACUUUGAAUAUUAAAGACAUGCUUUGGUUAAAAUACCUGAUGAAGCCUUGGCAGGAGGGGAUGAAUAACCUGGAAAGCCAUAGCAUCUGAGGCCUGAGUUUUCACCUACGUAAGCUCUAAUGCACUGAAAUAUAACCACCUACCUAUUUGCCUGCCUUCUGCUCAGCAGUCAGCUUCUGGAGGUCUUGUAUCCCAGCACCCAGCGCAGGUCUUGGCAAAUAGUAGGAGCUUAACAAAUAUUUGUUGAGUAAAUUGAAUGAGAUUGGGCAGAUUCCCAUGAUGUCAGCCUGUGAGGUCUUUUUCAAGAGGUAGGUGUACUCAGCAGCUCCUGUGGAGCGUUUUAGAAGGGGGAGUUAGUACCUUGGGGGCAAGGACUGCCUCUCAUUCAUCUCUGUAUCUGGAGUGCUAUGUUUGCUUAAGGAAUGAGUAAAUGUCUGUAUUGCUCAAGGGGUGGCCAUGUAAUAAUCUAUUGGGAUAGUCCCACCCUAUCUUCAGCUUGGAAGAAGAUCCUCAGGCAAUCAACACAGAAAUGUGCCAGACGGAUGCCUGAUUAUUGCUGAAACAUCUCCAGAGGGACCUGGAUGGGGGCAUUUUCUACAGGCCAUACUUUGAGUUUGUAAGCUCCUAUCAACAGCUCAAAAAUUCAAGGAGGUGGUUGGUAGUGCAAAGGGCAAGGCCUUGUUAGCCAGUUUGGGACACAAAUAACAGGAGCCAGAGGAAUGGCUUUAGCAACAGUACUUUGUUAUGACUGCAGGAAAGCCACCCAGGAAAUACAUGCCCUACUGUUGAUAACUACAAAAACAGGAAAUGAACAAAAGUAAUGACAAGAUGAAGGAAUGAGUUGGUCAAAGGGGAAAAAAACAACAACAAUAAAAAUGAGGCUCAUAAAUAUACCAUGAUUCUACCUUUCUUAAGUCCAUUCAUAAAAAUACAUUCAAUAUGGAUUUGCAUUAAAUAUAAAAACUAAAAAAAAGAUUAAACAAGUAGAAGAAAAUAUAAAUCACUUUUACCUGAUCUCUU